CCCUGUUUUCUGUGCUCCUUCGAGCUUGCUGUUUGUCCGGGUUUUUUACGUUUUAAUUUCCAGGACUUGAACUGCCAUGUCCUCUGAAGAAGGAAAGCUCUUCGUGGGAGGGCUCAACUUUAACACCGACGAGCAGGCACUGGAAGACCACUUCAGCAGUUUCGGACCUAUCUCUGAGGUGGUCGUUGUCAAGGACCGGGAGACUCAGCGGUCCAGGGGUUUUGGUUUCAUCACCUUCACCAACCCAGAGCAUGCUUCAGUUGCCAUGAGAGCCAUGAACGGAGAGGUAGUAGAGUCUGCAGACCUGUGGGCCUGGCCCGGAGAGGACCUCGUGAGUCUUCUGACAUGGACUCUGAAGCCUCAAACCAAGAGAGGUGUCUGUCUAGCCCUGAUAGUCGGGCAGCUUAGAGGAGUGGGGAGGAGAACUCAGCCUGAGUUCAGUCAAGAUUCUCUGGAUGGUCGUCAGAUCCGUGUGGAUCAUGCAGGCAAGUCUGCUCGGGGAACCAGAGGAGGUGGCUUUGGGGCCCAUGGGCGUGGUCGCAGCUACUCUAGAGGUGGUGGGGACCA
rnacentral:sRNA from 1 species